UGCAUGCACUUGGCCUCACCCACUGUGGGUCUGCAUGCACUUGGCCGGACCCACAGCAGGAAUGUCCUGCAGGAGGUUGACCAGCUCCCCUCCCCCUGCCCAGCGCUCUGUGUUUAACAAAGACCUGGAAGGAAAUCAGGUAUCAGAACCACUGAGACAUCCUGGAAGCAGCGGGGUGGCAACCGACUGACAGCUGAUAACAGGCGGAUUAGUGAAUGUAAACUGUGGCCAGUUUUCUUCCUCUGCAAUAAUCACACCUGCAGGCCAUCCUCUUCAUGCCUCUCAUCAGAGGCAGGUCACUCAAAAGCCGUGGAUACAAGGGCAGUAAGUGCAGGAUGAAGGUGAGACCCCCACAGCUGAGGCCCGGUCACGGGAAGGCUGGGCAAUUAAGAUGUAAAAUCACUAAUUGGAGCCAUGGGGAAAGCUGAGCUGCAUCCAUUCUUCCAACCAUUACAGGAGGAAAAUUUCUAUAGAUGCCUGACUGGCCGGGGCCAAUUAAUGGGGAGAUCUUAAACAGACCGCAGGCCAAAUCGCCUUUGGAAAAGGACGUGUCCAAGGUACGUUCCAGAAAACACAGCUGGUGGAGGCUCACGUUCUUCUGUUGCAGAGACAUUCGGUCCUGUUCAGACAAGAGCAGAGGGCUUGGAAAAUGCCGUUGUACUGGGUGGAAGCAUUGGGACGUCUGGGUGGGAGACAAGCUGAGCAGCAAUGCUGACCGUCCAGCUGAAGGUGGGAGCAGCACCGGCAGGGCAGGAUGUUCUUUGGAGCAAUGGAGGCUGCGGCCUUUGAUGGAGAAUGUGAGUUUGCUGAACCCGUGCAAGAAGUCUUAAGAGGAGAAAUGGAAAAGCCAAUAUAAAGGAACGCCGCUUUCUAGCGCCGCACUGGGGAGGGGGAGUGGAGAGAGAGUUUUCUUUCUGCGUUUCAGGUGACAGGAGAAGGAAAGAAAGCAGGACAGAGGAGGGAGCACACUGACACAGCGGCUUUGCUGCCUGCUCUCAGCUGCAGCCGGCUGUUACCCCCCGGCUGAGGAAAAGCUGCAAAUUCCCCAUUGCCGUUGCUCUUGUUCCAUCGUGCUACGGUUCAACUUCUGCCUUUUGCUUGUGGUCAUCGCAGCCUGCAGGAGAGCAGCAGCGUGUUCAUCUCAGGCAGGGGCUGGGGGAAGCAGGCAGGAUGUGAAGAGGCAAAGGAUGUGAAGGCAGAGACAUGAAAUGCCUGCAGACAGCGUUUGUGUGCUGGGGACGGAGAAGCGUCUGGGGCUGGAGUUUCUCUCUUUGUGAGCUGCUUCCCUGGCCCUUGGCUGCUCCAGCAAGGAGCCUCUUUGCUUGCAGGAGCUUUGUGGAGGUGGCCGUGUUCCUUUCUUCUAUUUCCACUAUUUGUUCUUUGCACAGCAAAACAGAGGCUGCCUUUUGGUUUUUUUUUUUGGAUGCUGAAAAGCAGAGGCUGCUGCUUUGGCCGUGGCCAAUAAACAGAGCAUUUCUUCUUU